CUCUAAGGGAUCCUUCUUGAAACAGUUCAAUAAAAAUGAAACCGUCAUCUCAGCUGGUACAGUGGAAUCAAUCACUAAUGAUAGGGACUAUAAGGUGACAGCUGGUGACACACCAUGACGUUUGUAUCUGGAAAGUGGUGUGAACCAGAGCUCUCUUUUAACUCACCACCUCAAAAAUACGAUGAACAGGGAUAUGCUAUGAGUCUAGAGCGAAAUGGAUUGACAAUAUGAACACUGGCAACUUGUCUAAGCUGCAUGCUUGUGCUGUAACUUGGCAAAAUAGAGACAAUAUGCAUCAGAGAUUAUCUAUUUCUAUUGGAAGAGAGCUGAAUUGGAUGAUGACAUCACUAAGUCAUCAAUGAACUGACUUUAGCUGGAAAAAUGACUCCAUGUCAUUGUCUUCUGGCAUUAUUGACAAACUAUUUUCCUGUUUGACACUGCAAAGCUGCUUUGACACAAUCAGUAUCGUAUAAAGUGCUAUACAAAUAAAGGUGACUUGACUAUUUGAUUUGCACAGCCUUUACUCAAAACUCUAGACCAGAAAAGUGCAUUCUAGACCACAGACAUACAUUGGCAGAAAAGUAACAACAACAAAGACAGCAAGCUUAACAAUGCCCCCCACCCUUUAUUAGUAGUUGUGUUAGCUACUCUUAUUACAUUUUUGGUUAAUAAAAUUCCUUUUUUUAAUACUUGGGUCUUCCUUGUUUUAAUAAUGCAGUAAGAGGCUCUACAAGUAAUCCAGAAUCUAACAAAUCCUUCAGAUUGGUCAGUUGACAAAUUCUGUCCAGUUUACAUAAUGUUUAUUGUUUAUUUAUUGAACAAUCCUCCUUGAUUGUUCCUAUACUUUUAAAGUGGAAAUCCUUGGUUCCCUGAGGUACGGCCAGUGCCGGUGUAGCAACAAUCUUUGCUGAACCAUGUCUGUUGAAUUGCUGUUUUUUUUUUUUUUUUUUUGGUACCCCAAGGACUGGUGGCAAAGGUGGUGGGGUUGCUAUUGUCUUUACACAGUUGCUCAACGUACGGAAAGUUUCUAUUGCUACUGCUCUGUGCUUUGAUCUAUUGGCCACAUAACCUGAUUUCUUUCUAUCUCCUACUUAGCCAGUUGUAUUGAAGUGACCUAACAAACUACACUUUUCCUUCUGAGAAAGCAGUAGGUGGCCGACUAAGAUUGGACUGGUGAGUUGUGACCAUGAGAUCCACGACCUCUGACCGGCAUGAGACUCAUUGCGAAAUUUGGGUCCCAGAUGAAUGAAAGAAUUGAAAGUCUGGGAUGUCCAGAAUAAUCAAAUAUCUAAAUUCAUACAUAACCAAUAUGUGUGAAUAGUUCUUAAUUAGAAACACAGUAUAAAUUUAAUGAUCAUUUGAAUUUGGAGUCUGAUUAAACACAGAACUGGAAUAAAAUUUAAACUCAGUCCUUAAAUUAAGUGAACUUUAUAGA
rnacentral:lncRNA from 1 species